CGGCUAACUCUGUGCCAGCAGCCGCGGUAAUACAGAGGGUGCGAGCGUUAAUCGGAUUUACUGGGCGUAAAGCGUGCGUAGGCGGCUUCUUAAGUCGGAUGUGAAAUCCCUGAGCUUAACUUAGGAAUUGCAUUCGAUACUGGGAAGCUAGAGUAUGGGAGAGGAUGGUAGAAUUCCAGGUGUAGCGGUGAAAUGCGUAGAGAUCUGGAGGAAUACCGAUGGCGAAGGCAGCCAUCUGGCCUAAUACUGACGCUGAGGUACGAAAGCAUGGGGAGCAAACAGGAUUAGAUACCCUGGUAGUCCAUGCCGUAAACGAUGUCUACUAGCCGUUGGGGCCUUUGAGGCUUUAGUGGCGCAGCUAACGCGAUAAGUAGACCGCC
rnacentral:rRNA from 1 species